AUUGAACGCUGGCGGCAGGCCUAACACAUGCAAGUCGAACGAGUGGCGGACGGGUGAGUAAUGUAUGGGAAACUGCCUGAUGGAGGGGGAUAACUACUGGAAACGGUAGCUAAUACCGCAUACCAUCGGAUGUGCCCAGAUGGGAUUAGCUAGUAGGUGGGGAAACGGCUCACCUAGGAGACGAUCCCUAGCUGGUCUGAGAGGAUGACCAGCCACACGGGAACUGCGACACGGUCCAGACUCUGACGUGAGGCAGCAGUGGGAAAUAUUGCACAAUGGGCGAAAGCCUGAUGCAGCCAUGCCGCGUGUAUGAAGAAGGCCUUCGGGUUGUAAAGUACUUUCAGCGGGGAGGCGUUACCCGCAGAAGAAGCACCGGCUAACUCCGUGCCAGCAGCCGCGUUAUUC
rnacentral:rRNA from 1 species